AACGUUUAAAAGCUUGGAACAGCCGGAGGCUCGGACAUGCCGCUCGCCGAAUUUCUCGGCUUGCACACGCAACCACUCUCGACCAGAACGUAAUCUUGACCGGUCAAGGUCACCGGUCCAAGUGGAAUCACCAGGAACAGGAAAAGUAUUAAACCGAUGACGAGGAGAGGAAAAGGUGUCAAGAUUAAUAAUUCUUGGCAGUUUACUGCUGAUCUACGACACAUCGUGUUUCGAUAAACACACGGAAAUACUGGUCCAAAACGUUUCAAAAGUAGGCUUUGUCCUGGUCAGAGUUGUCCGGCCCACUGUGCCAGAUUCGAAUUAAUGUACUUACCAGUAGGUCUCGACGAAUUUCAAUUGGAAACACGUCGCAUAUAUUCACAGAUCACGAGCGAACGUGCUGCGAAAAUAAUGAUCGAACCUCGUUUUUUAAUUUGCAAACAGGAAUGGUCGAGCUAAUUUUAAAAGAUCACGCUCAAAGAUAUGAUGGUAAAUACUCACUCGCAAACUUCGAAUACAACUUGCUGCAAAAGAUCAGGGAAUUUUUGCACGAUUGUCACAGGUUGGCCGCUGGUUAAACUGACUCCGUACAUAGGUGCCGUAGUGUUGUACCUCGUUUUGCAUAAUCUAGCCGGUGAACCGCAUGUUUCCCUCGAGGAAAAUCCUCUGCCUAAAACAAAAAACACACCGACUCACGUGAAAAAGAUAAUUUCUCGAUAUUUAGAAUUUAUUAUAAUUUUUCAUAUUUUUAAAACAUUUCGUAUAUUUAAAGAAAUAUUCAAUUUCCUUGCAAAAAAUCUUAGAAAAAAAUCACGCAAGAAUUAUUUAAUAAAAAAAAAAAUCUGGAUAACGAGCAAGGAGGAGGAGGUUCUCUCUCAAACUUGUUUACGAGAUUCACGCCCUUUCUUUGGAAUUCUGUCGGUUCAUGUGUUCGAAACGAGUGGGUCGCCAGUGUCCCGUUAUGAGCAGAACGAGCGAUAACUGUAUUGGCCGGAUAACACGGUGCCUUAUUACCGUCCUCCUGCACCAGCGAAUCAUUAUUUAAAGGACGAAUAAUCGAUUCCGGUAAAUAGCGCUUGAACCGAUGCAUUUUUCGCGCGUAUAGACGUUAAAUCAUGAAGUGACAAGCCACUGAAUUUCAAGGAAAAGAAUUCACCGGAUAAACACCCGUGCAGCGGGUGUUGAGCUCGGUCGGAAUCGGGUUUUCGUGUCAUAAGAACAACUGCAUAAUUCAAGGCUGCAAAGUGGCGAUAUAUCGCGCAACCGGUUGUUCCGAUUUUUAUAUAUAUUUUUGUUCCGUUUUUCCAAUAUGCUUCCAACAUUAAAGGCGACUUUGAAGAUUCUUUGGAAGCUUUCUUCGUGAGACUGCGUAAUCUUUACAGAGUAAUGCUACAGUUUUUUUUUUUUUUUUUAGAAACUUUUCAAGCGUUCUUAUCGUAGACGCAACGGUAUCGUAAAGAAGUAUUCACACGGCGGCGAAUAUAAGGGAAACGGUUUCUUUUUUAUAAAAAAGCAUAUUCCAUAGCGAAUUACCAAGAACACUGCUAGCACAUGAGAAUACAAUGUUUGCAUAUUACCAGACCAGAGUACAAUAACCUCGUAAACCGUAUGUGAACGUUUGGUAAUAUCCCGAAGGAGUAACUGCAAUAAUUAUAAGUUAAGCACCAACAUAAUGUCUGUUGAGGGUUACUGCACGUGUGUAUACGAGCGCAGUGAGUAUGCAAAUGAAUAGUAUAUAUACUUAUAUUUGGACAAAGAGAGUAGCAAUUGCAAGAUAAAUACAUCACUUAUGUUCGACGCGGAUGUAGGUUAUAGCUAUGCGUAAUUAUUCGUGAUUCAGGUAACCGGCUCGACUACUGUUGCGCUUCGAGCAAGAGAGACAAGUUCGUCUUCCGCGUGUUUUCAACCAAGCCACGUUCUCGAUUCGAUCGUGAUCCGUUAAAUUGUUUUGCGACCGAACAGGAAACGUCAUUUCCAAAACGUCGUUUCGAAUUUAAUCUGAAUGAAUCUCUCUAAAGAAAUUAAUUUUUCUGAAUUGAUCUGUUUUUCGAUAGACAAACAACAAUAUAUUGAUUUUACGAACUCACCAUUCCGCGAGGAUUCGGCCAUCGAAUAAUCUCCAUGAGUAAUUUUGUAAUUGUGCAAUAGCGCCUGCCUCGUUAAUUCGGGAUCGAUCGUUCGUGCCUGAUGAGAUCUCGCAAUUCGGCUGUUCGUCCAAAGAUUCUUGUAACUUCUCGAUAUUGCGGCUCUGUGUGACAGUCAUUCGUUUAGUCGAUAACGAAAUCUCGAAUAAAAUGAAUCAUUGAAAUUCUAGCUGGGGAGCUUUAUCGGAGGACACUUACGACGGAUACUGCAUGUUAUUUGGACCUAUACAAUCAGCUGGAUCCGUGAGCGCAUCGCCCCAUACGUAUUUCAAGCCCAAAUCAUUUCCCUCGCAUUUUUUGGCUCCGUGGGCGCACGUCGUAAUAACGAGCAGAAUCAGACCGAGGUACCUGGACAUCUGAAAUUACAUCAAAAGCUAUAAUAAUAACACACUUGAUCCGGUUAAAUUGAAUUGCUUAUCGAUUCGAGAACAGUCUAACAUUUCAAUUCCAAAACUAGGUGAUAAUAAUAAUCGUGUGUUUCUACAAAACGAAAGCGUGGAAACGAAUAGAUAGUUUCACGUAUCAAGAGCCGUUUUAAAAGACACGUACAUUAAUGAAAAUUAAUUAAGCCGACGAGCAACAUCUCAUGAAUAAAACAAUCACAACUGGCACUGGACUCGGAUUACCAGGACCUUACUAUGUGAGUGAGAACAGACUUGGAACUCGAGUUCGCACGAGGUCAAGAGCAAAAUGACAUUGGCUUUGGAUCGUGAUGCAUCGUGGCCGAAAAAAUUCAUCGAAUCAUUCUUUCAGCACGCUUUCACAUGCACCGAUACAUGUGUGAUUCGUACUCACGCACACAUAUUUAUUUUAUUUAAUAAUUGUCUUUAAGCCUAUCAUUAUUCUCUGCUUCUGUUCUUCGACAGAGGUUCCAUUUCACGGGCUGGUCUCGAGCUUUUUCGCUUUCGAGCCUCACGAACGAUGAAAAUCGUCUGGACGAGAGAACGUAUGCAUUCGAGAAUAAUAAUUAACGAACGCGCGUAACCAAUAUGAAUUCAUGUAUGGAGUUUGGGGUUUGUAGGUUGCCAGGUUCGCAUAACUUCCGCUAUGUAUUUCUCGUUGUCGAUCAAAUAUGAGUGAAAGCAACGCGAUAGCAUGCAGCUGUUCAAUUUCGAAUACUUUUAUUCCGAGAAACGUAAACGGUUGAUCUAGUUUUUUUAACUUGUUCAAUUAUUAUUUGACGAAUUGAAAUUGAAUAGAAUAGUCAACGCGGUAUAAAAUUGCGGUUUGAUGUUUGCCCAAGUGAUAAAUUGCGCGUGGGAAAGGAAAGGAAGAAAAUCAUUAUUGGAUAGCACCCAAGGCUGGUCAUUGGCCGUGACUGGUAUCGCGCAUCUAUUUCUUCAGGAUAUGCUGUCCAGCAUUCUUCCUGUAUCACAAGAAACAACUGAAUUGUAUAUAGUUCAGCGAUAAUAUCGUAAAGGAUGCAUGUUAUCUUGAUCGAAUCAGAUGCAAAUAUGGGAGUAUUUUUUGAUUUUAGGAAUUUAAAUAUAUCUUGUUACAAACAUUUAAAAAAAUAUAUAUAUUAACGUAGAUUUGUCUUUUGUAGCUUUUUUAUGGAUUAAAUGAUCCUAUAUUGAUCACACGAUAAAGGAUAUCGAAUAACUAUCUUAGUCAAGCUUCGAUGAAUUACAUAACGGCAAUAUUGCGAAAAAGAGAAGACCGAGUUAAGAAAGACGUGAGAAUCAGUUGAACUUGGAAGAUCGAGGUCUUCUAUGGAUUUCCAUUCAUCAUCAACAAAAACAAUUAUUUGUGCUGUAACUUUUCACUUUAUUAUUUAGAAGAAUUUUUCCCAGUAGCAAUCGGAGAAGUACUGUUAAUAUAUUAAAACAGGAUUAAUUAAGUAGUUAUCUCUGAUCGUGGAAACACUCGAAUCGAUCGAAUUGGAACGAGAUUUAUCUAACUGGAAUUGUGAAAUUGCUUUGAGAAAGAUAAAAUAAUUAUACGUAAUACUGAUAAAUGAAACAAAAUUGAUGAGACGCAACGAAGAAAAAAAGUUUAGGAAAAAUUAUGCUUCCGGUAGUCAGGAGAAGAUUCCUCGUGGACCAUGAGCGUGUCAUGCGGUUGGUUCUAACGUCUACAGGAUGUCACUCACCAUGAGGAAGACCAUUUUUAACACUGUGAACUUGAAUCGUUUUCUCAGUCUGUUUGACAACUAUACAAUUACUUAUACGCGUUACAUGAAUUGAUCGCAAUGUUCUAGUAGAAGAAGGAAUUGGAUUAAAACGGGGGCACACGAGUUCCUUAAACACCGUUCAUGUCACCACACCGGAUGUCGUGGGGUCGAACACCUCCGUCCUCACAGGUGGAUGUCCAGAGGUUGACUGUAGAAUCGUAAGUAACCACUCUCUGUGCUCUGGUAGAGCCAAGGAAAAAGAGGGGAUGAGACGAGGAAUAUCGGCCCCUAUUCUACCUCGAAACUUUUUUUUCUUUUAUUAAAGAAAAAGUUCGAAGAGAAAAAGGGUAACUAAGAACGCCCCUCUUUUUCUUUUAUAUUUCAUCAAAGUUUCUAUCUAGUGUUUGCAUGUUUAUCGGAAUUAUUAUUUUUUAUACAAAAAGAUUAUAAUCAUUUAUGAAUUAAAAAUAUUAGCAUAAUAUUUACGGAGAAUUAAAAUAAUAAUAUAAUAAACAUAAAUAUUUUGUAUCAAGAUAAUUAUUUCGUGAUAAUAUUGGAUAAUAUAAUAUUGUAUGAUAAGGUAUAUCUUUUUUUAAAAGAACAAUGAUGAGAAUUCAACAAAUACUCAAUUACGUGUUGAUAUUUUUUUUUUUUUAUUUAAAUUCAUUGCCAAUUAGAUUUAUCGAAUUGUUUGCGUAUAAAUUAAUUAUAAAAUUUCUUUGAAUAUUAGCUGUUAUACAUAUAAACAUUAGUUUGCAAAUUGUAUUUUAUAAUUUGAAUUUUUAAUCAGAGUUCAUUAUGAUUGUGAACGAUUUGACAUUAUUAUCGCAAGUUCUUAUUAUUAAUUAUAAAAAAAGCAAUGUCAAAACACAUUUCUAUUGAAAACUGAACACCGUUGAAAAUGUAUCUUCAGAAAAUUUUUUCCCGAUACACUUGAUAAGUAAAGCUAGGAUUUUUUUAAGCAACAUCUUUUACAAGUUUUAAUUAGCAAAUUUAAAUGAUAUCUAUCAAAUUUCCUAUGAAUUCUAGGAAGGAUAAUUUAUGAAAUAUGUUACAUAUUGCAAUAGACAACAUUCAUUAAUUUUUAAUUCAAAAGCUAGUCAGUAUCGAAGUAUCUUUCAUAAAUUAUACUCCUCAUAUUAAAAUAAGUGGUAGAGAUUUUCGUCAAAUAUAUUUAAUUUGCAGUCUUAUAGAUACUAAUUAUUAAAAAAGAACUACGUGAAAAUAACUUAUGUAAUAAUAAAAUGAAUAAAAUUUAUAUUCUAUGAUUG